AUUCUGUUCAUAUUCUCUCCCCUUUAGAUAUUGUCAUUUGUUUUCUGUUGCCAAGUUUGGUGAAUUCUUUAUAUAUUUUGGUUAUUAGGCUUUUGUCUGAUAUAUGGCAUGUAAAUAUCUUUCCCAUUCUGUAAGUAAUCUAUUUAGAUGGUGGUUUCCCUUGCUGUACAGAAGUUUUCAAUUUGAUAUAGUCCUCUUGGCUUAUUUUUGUUUUUGUCUUCCUUGCAAUUGGACUUAAAGAUGCCUAGAAAACUUAGAUGGAAAAGAGUUCUCUCAAUAUUUUUUUCUUAGUAUUUGAUAGUUUCUGGUCAAUUUCUUGAUCCAUUUGGAAUUUACUUUUGUGUCCGGUGAAAUGUAGUAGUUCUAUUUCAUUUUUCUGCACAUUUCAACUCAAUUUUCCCAACAACAUUUGGUGAAGAGACACAGCUUUCUCCACUUAAUAGUUUGGGCCCCAUUGUCAAAACUUAGAUGUCCAGGAGUGUGGGGCUAGAUCUUUCUUUCUUCCUUUUUUUUUUUUUUUUUUUUUUUGAUUCAUCAUAUCUUUCUCAUUGUAAGUUUACUGAUCUACUGUAUUACAUAUCCAUUUAUAAAGUAUAUUUUGGGGGGCUGGGCAGUAACAUACCCAGUUAAGUGCACAUAGUACUAAGUGCAAGAGUUUGAACCCUGCUCCCCACCUGCAGGGGUGAUGCUUCACAAGCAGCAAAGCAGGUCUGCAGGUGUCAAUCCUUUUCUUUCUGCCCUCCCCUCUCUUUCUCUCUCUUUUAUAUCUCAUUGUUGUCGGAUAGGACAGAGAGAAAUAGAGAGAGGAGGGGAAGACAGAGAGGGAAAGAGAAAGAUAGACACCUGCAGACCUGCUUCACCACUUGUGAAGCAACCCCCUUGCUAGUGUGGAGCGGAGGACUCGAACUGGAAUCCUUCUACUGGUCCUUGCACUUCGCACCAUGUGCACUUACUCAGUGUGUUACCGCCUGACCCUCUCUCUGCUACCCCUCUCAAUUUCCCUCUUUCCUAGUAAAUAAAAUGGGAAAAAAUAAAAGGAAAAAAUGGCCACAAAGAACUUUGGAUUCUCAGUGCAGGCACCGAGCCCCAUCAAUAAUCAUGGAGGCAAUAAUAAUAAUAUAUAUUUUUGUUUAUAUUAUAUUGUUUAUACAGGAAAAUUGUUUUUAUUUUAACUUAAUAAUUAAUAUUAUUACAUCAUUCUCCAUCUUCUAUCUGGGUCAUUAUUGCCCUAUCACCUCACUAUUCAGGUUAUUAUUAAUAAGUUCUUAAAAUGUUUUACCAGAGAAAACAGCCUGGGAGUAUGUAUUGACCUGCCAAUGUCUAUGUCCAAUGGAGAAGCAAUUACAGAAGCCAGACCUUUCACCUUCUGCACCACAUAAUGAUCCUGGGUCUAUAUUCAUACUCACAGAGGGAAAAUGAAUAGGAAAGCUUCCAGUGGAGGAGAUGGGAUAUGCAACUCAGGUGGUAGGAAUUGUGUGAAUUGUAUCCCUCUUAUCUUAUGGGCUUGUUUAUCAUUAUUAAAUCAGUAAAUUAAAAAAAAAAUUUACCAGGGCCACCAAAAUAGCUCAUAUGGACAGUGCACUGCAUUCUAUGCAUGCCAUUCAGGUUUAAGCCCAGCUCCCACUGCACUGAAGGAAUUUUUAGUGUUGUGACAUAUCUAUCUAUCU